rnacentral:lncRNA from 1 species
CUUCUUGGAAGAUGAGCUGUAGGAUGAUUUGGUUUGAACAAAUGUGCUGCUGCUGCCAUUGUCUGAUCUCUUCACAUAACUUGACUCCAUGGUUGUUGUGCGGGAAGUCUUGCUGCCAUCAUUAGACUGGAUGAGGCGCUCGGUUUUGGUGACAGUGCUGCGGGCUGAGCCGUCGGCUGACUGGGUGCUCUGCGUGGUGGUGGUCUCAGUGUUGUGGCCAGCCCUGCUCACUGUAGCCUGGCUCUUCAUCUCCUGCAGCCGCUGGUCCCGCUCCUUCUCCCGCUGGUCUCGCUUGCGCUGGCGCAGCUCCCGCAUGGCAUUACGGAUCAGCCGUCGCUCCUCAAAGUCUGUGGUCUGAUCCAGCAUCUUAUCCAGAACAUCCUCGUCCUCAAUCCUGUUCAACUCCUCGACAUUCAGCUUGCUCUUCUUCUCCACUUCCCUCACUUGGACCUUCUCCAUGCCAUUGGGCAGCUCUGGCUGCAGCCUCGGUGCCUGGGGCUGCUCCACCACCAGCUCCGGUUCCAUCGGUUUGACGACAUUGCUGCUGGUGCUGAUGCUGCAGAUGCCGCCGGUGCUGCUGGGGAUGGCGGUGAUGCGGAUGGGAG